rnacentral:rRNA from 1 species
GAUGAACGCUGGCGGCGUGCCUAAUACAUGCAAGUCGAGCGGCAGCAUAGUCUUCGGACUGAUGGCGAGCGGCGGACGGCAGAGUAACGCGUAGGAACAUACCCCAAACUGAGGGAUAACUGCUCGAAAGAGUAGCUAAUACCGCAUGUGGUCUUAGGACUAAAGCUUCGGCGGUUUGGGAAUGGCCUGCGUCUGAUUAGCUUGUUGGUGAGGUAAAAGCUCACCAAGGCGACGAUCGGUAGCUGGUCUGAGAGGAUGAUCAGCCUGACUGGAACUGAGAACGGUCCAGACUCCUACGGGAGGCAGCAGUAGGGAAUUUUCCACAAUGGGCGAAAGCCUGAUGGG